rnacentral:rRNA from 1 species
AGUGAACGCUGGCGGUAGGCCUAACACAUGCAAGUCGAACGGCAGCACAGUAAGAGCUUGCUCUUACGGGUGGCGAGUGGCGGACGGGUGAGGAAUACAUCGGAAUCUACUUUUUCGUGGGGGAUAACGUAGGGAAACUUACGCUAAUACCGCAUACGACCUACGGGUGAAAGCAGGGGAUCUUCGGACCUUGCGCGAUUGAAUGAGCCGAUGUCGGAUUAGCUAGUUGGCGGGGUAAAGGCCCACCAAGGCGACGAUCCGUAGCUGGUCUGAGAGGAUGAGCAGCCACACGGAACCUGAAACAGGGUCAAGACCCCUAGGGGGGGCAAGGGGGGGGAAUUUGGGACAAUGGGGGAAACCCUGACCCACCCAAACCGCGGGGGUGAAAAAGGCCUUGGGGUUGUAAAGCCCUUUUUUUGGGAAAAAAAAGCAGCAGGUUAAACCCCCGCUGUUCUGACGGAACCAAAAAAAAAAGCACCGGCUAACUUCGU